CAGGAGUUAUGGGGAGAAGGCAGGAGAAUGGGGUUGAGAGGGAAAGAUAGAUCAGCCAUGAUUGAAUGGCGGAGUAGACUCGAUGGGCCGAAUGGCCUAAUUCUACUCCUAUAACUUGUGAACUUAGAA